rnacentral:rRNA from 1 species
GGGACCUCGGGGUCAGGUGCCGGGGUAAACCAGGUGUGUCAAGCGUUGUUCGGAAGUACUGGGCGUAAAGGGCGCGUAGGAGGCCGCCUAAGUCAGACGGGAAAUCCCCAAGCUUAACUUGGGAACUGCGUCUGAUACUGGGUGGCUUGAGUUCGGGAGAGGAAUGUGGAAGUCCAGGUGUAGCGGUGAAAUGCGUAGAUAUCUGGAGGAACACCGGUGGCGAAGGCGGCAUUCUGGACCGAAACUGACGCUGAUGCGCGAAAGCCAGGGGAGCAAACGGGAUUAGAUACCCUUGUAGUC